rnacentral:rRNA from 1 species
AGAGUUUGAUUCUGGCUCAGGAUGAACGCUGGCGGCGUGCCUAACACAUGCAAGUCGAACGAAGCGCGCGGACGGAAUUUCUUCGGGAAGGAAGGCCGCGCGACUGAGUGGCGGACGGGUGAGUAACGCGUGGGCAACCUGCCCUGCACAGGGGGACAACAGCCGGAAACGGCUGCUAAUACCGCAUAAGCGCACAGCUUCGCAUGAAGCGGUGUGAAAAGCUGCGGCGGUGCAGGAUGGGCCCGCGUCUGAUUAGCUGGUUGGCGGGGCAACGGCCCACCAAGGCGACGAUCAGUAGCCGGCCUGAGAGGGUGGACGGCCACAUUGGGACUGAGACACGGCCCAGACUCCUACGGGAGGCAGCACUGGGGAAUAUUGCACAAUGGGGGAAACCCUGAUGCAGCGACGCCGCGUGAGCGAAGAAGUAUUUCGGUAUGUAAAGCUCUAUCAGCAGGGAAGAAACUGACGGUACCUGAGUAAGAAGCUCCGGCUAAAUACGUGCCAGCAGCCGCGGUAAUACGUAUGGAGCAAGCGUUAUCCGGAUUUACUGGGUGUAAAGGGAGCGU